rnacentral:tRNA from 1 species
GGCCAGAUAGCUCAGUUGGUUAGAGCAUCUUGAGAUUUCACCAGAAGGUCCUGGGUUCAAUCCCCAGUCUGGACA